rnacentral:rRNA from 1 species
AGUGGGGAAUAUUGCACAAUGGGGGAAACCCUGAUGCAGCCAUGCCGCGUGUGUGAAGAAGGCCCUAGGGUUGUAAAGCACUUUAAGUUGUGAGGAAGGCUAGAUAGUUAAUACCUAUUUAGAUUGACGUUAGCAACAGAAUAAGCACCGGCUAACUUCGUGCCAGCAGCCGCGGUAAUACGAGGGGUGCAAGCGUUAAUCGGAAUUACUGGGCGUAAAGCGCGCGUAGGCGGCUAUUCAAGCCAGAUGUGAAAUCCCAGGGCUUAACCUUGGAACUGCAUCCGGAACUGUUUAGCUAGAAUACAGCAGAGGAGUGUGGAAUUUCAGGUGUAGCGGUGAAAUGCGUAGAGAUCUGAAGGAACAUCAGUGGCGAAGGCGACACUCUGGGCUGAUAUUGACGCUGAGGUGCGAAAGCGUGGGUAGCAAA